GCCUGGGUAGCUCAGUCGGUUGAGCGUCCGACUUCGGCUCAGGUCAUGAUCUCACAGUUUGUGGGUUCAAGCCCUGCGUCAGGUG
rnacentral:tRNA from 1 species